GACGAACGCUGGCGGCGUGCUUAACACAUGCAAGUCGAACGGAAAGGCCUCUUUCGGGGGGUACUCGAGUGGCGAACGGGUGAGUAACACGUGAGUAACCUGCCCUUGACUUUGGGAUAACUUCAGGAAACUGGGGCUAAUACCGGAUAGGAGCUCCUGCUGCAUGGUGGGGGUUGGAAAGUUUCGGCGGUUGGGGAUGGACUCGCGGCUUAUCAGCUUGUUGGUGGGGUAGUGGCUUACCAAGGCUUUGACGGGUAGCCGGCCUGAGAGGGUGACCGGCCACAUUGGGACUGAGAUACGGCCCAGACUCCUACGGGGGGCAGCAGUGGGGAAUAUUGCACAAGGGGUGGAAGCCUGAUGCAGCAACGCCGUGUGCGGGAUGACGGCCUUCGGGUUGUAAACCGCUUUCGCUCAUGACGAAGCUUUGUGUGACGGUAGUGGGUAAAGAAGCACCGGCUAACUACGUG
rnacentral:rRNA from 1 species